UGCUCGAGUCAAUGCCCAACAGAAAGAAGGCAGAGGCUAGAACAACUGGUGGAGGACCUGCACUGACGCAUGCAGAGGAGAAGGGCCUCACCCUGAACACUGGAAAGCAGGGGCUAAAGGAAUUUCUGGAGGGAGUUCAUCAGAACCAGUCACUCCCCAGGAUACAAGUGCAUUUGUAAAAUGGGAGCUGUGCAGUGCAGACACAGAAACCUACAUCUACAUGCAGGCCAAUAAGACGAGAAGAUAAAAGUCCAAGCUGGCUUCAGUAGUUUCGUACGGUCAGGGAGAGAGGCUGCAAUGAAAAGCGUUACACUAACGGGUUCACUGAAGAAAUGGAACUGAUGGUCACACAGAUUUAUGGAGGCACACAUCCAAACCUAGAUUGGACCUCCAGGAGAGACGAGUGUGGCCACUGGGACGUGCACAUUUAUGGACUUAAAGGCGAAAUGGGUCGUCAUUUGCCCCAGGGCCUUGUGAAGCUCUGGAGUCGCUUCAAGCGUUGGAGAAACCGGAGGAUCCAGCCGGAGCAGCCGGUGGGCGAAGGUGGUCCAGAUGGGCCUAACGGCGUCCACGUCCAUCCUUCACCCACUCCUCAGGUGGGUGACUCAUACACACCCCAUCCACCUUCUCCUCCACGCUCUCUUGUUUUUUGGUCUGCUGGUCCUUCUGUUUCCCCUUCACCCCCUCCUGUUCCUUGUUGCUUUGAUGUUCUUGCUUUUUCUCCUUCACCCUGUCCUACUCCUUCUUUUUCUUCUUCUUCUUUCUCACUCUCUUCUGCUUCCUCUGGUACUUGGUGCUCUGACAUCUUUCCCUUUUCUCCUUACCCUUCUCCUACUCCUUCUUCUUCUUCUUCCUCACUCUCUUCUGCUCACUCUGCUUCUCUGUGCUCUCCUCCUCACUCUCUCAUCUCCUUUUUCUUCUCCCUCGCCCUCCUCUGCUUACUCUGGUACUUGUUGCUCUGCUGUCCUUCCCUUUUCUCCUUCACCCUCUGCUGUUCCUAGUUGUUCUGCUGUCUUUCCUUUUUGUCCUUCACCCUCUCCUACUCCUUCUUCUUCUUCCUCACCCUCUUCUGCUUACUCUUGUCUUUGUUGCUCUGAUGCCCUUCCUUUGUCCCCUUUACCCUCUCCUGUGACGGAGAGAGUGAAGGAGCUCAUCCAGCAGCUCAUCUUCCAGGAGAGGUAAGGAAGACAGUGAUGAGGAGGGGGCUGCUCUUGGAAGACUCAACUGUGGGACACUGUUUCCUACAGUGAAACCAGUCUUGGAUUUGACCCCAGGGCACCUUUUUUGUAGUUUUAUCUCUAUACCAUAAGUUUAAAUGUUCAUUCCAACUUUGAGAACUAGCCUUUGCGUCUGGCUGGGCAGUUUUCAGGUCCCCGGCAGCGUCUGGCGCUGGGACCUUUCUUUCUUUCCUGGAUGAACACAAGUUUAAAUGUUAAUUUUUACCCUGAGAACUAGCCUUUGCGUCUGGCUGGGCGGUUCUCAGGUCCCAGGUAGCGUCUGGCACCUGGGCCAGUUUUUGCUGUUUUUUAUAUUUUAGCAUGGCGGUUGGAUGGACUUUUCUUUCACCCUGAAGGCUGAGUUCAGCGCCUGGCAGGGCCGUCGAUCCCCCCAUGCAAGUUGCCCUAGCGUCUGGCGGGGUAGCUAUUAUGUUUCCUCCACAGCGAUAGAAGGUCAGCUCAGUCACAGUGGCACUGGGGACACAUGUCGUCUCCCACUGAAGCUCCUCGGUGGCAGAUGACUGCAGUGUCAGGUGUUAUGGAGGAGACACAUGGCUGUCUGCAGUCCACAUCCUGCUCCACACUACAGGGAGCAGUGACUGACGGCUACUGACCAUUACGUCUGUCUUUCCAGUGGACAAAGGUUUAUUAGGAGAAGGAGACGAGGGAACCAGGAGAUGAGCAACGAGACAACCAAUCUGGACCAAGAGCCGGCAUUCCAAGCAGCCCGGACCUAAGCUGUCAAACCGAUCGCAGGAACCACAGCUGCACAAUUACGUUCAGUGCAGCUGUGGAGGCUGGAGAAUUGUGACAACAGAGACCAUAGGACCACCUGGAGAGAAGUUGUCACCUGUGUCUAUGGAGGCUCAAUGCAAUAACAUCCUGCAGCUCUUCGCUCUCUCCAGCCUCUGGUCCAGACAGAGGGGAGCCUCCCAGUCCUAAUCACAUAGAGGAAGUGUCUUUAUCACUGCUUUCUCUGUGCUGCUGGGUUUGGGAGACUCUUCACAUAACCAGUGGUGUUGGCCUCCAUCUGUAAACAGAAGACGGUCAAGACAAGUGGUUGUCAUAAAUACUGUGUGUGUGUGUAUAUAUAUAUAUAUAUAUAUAUAUAUAUAUAUAUAUAUAUAUAUAUAUAUAUAUAUAUAUAUAUAUAUAUAUAAUGUCAUCAAGAAAAUAAAAGAACUGCUUUGUCUGAA